rnacentral:rRNA from 1 species
AGUGAACGCUGGCGGUAGGCCUAACACAUGCAAGUCGAACGGCAGCACAGUAAGAGCUUGCUCUUACGGGUGGCGAGUGGCAGACGGGUGAGGAAUACAUCGGAAUCUACUUUUUCGUGGGGGAUAACGUAGGGAAACUUAUGCUAAUACCGCAUACGACCUACGGGUGAAAGCAGGGGAUCUUCGGACCUUGCGCGAUUGAAUGAGCCGAUGUCGGAUUAGCUAGUUGGCGGGGUAAAGGCCCACCAAGGCGACGAUCCGUAGCUGGUCUGAGAGGAUGAUCAGCCACACUGGAACUGAGACACGGUCCAGACUCCUACGGGAGGCAGCAGUGGGGAAUAUUGGACAAAGGGCGCAAGCCUGAUCCAGCCAUACCGCGUGGGUGAAGAAGGCCUUCGGGUUGUAAAGCCCUUUUGUUGGGAAAGAAAAGCAGCAGGUUAAUACCCCGCUGUUCUGACGGUACCCAAAGAAUAAGCACCGGCUAACUUCGUG